UGCCAGCAGCCGCGGUAAUACGAACUGCCCAAACGUUAUUCGGAAUCACUGGGCUUAAAGGGUCCGUAGGCGGCUUUUCAAGUCGGGUGUGAAAGUCCUCGGCCCAACCGAGGAAUUGCGCUCGAAACUGAUUAGCUUGAGUGCCAUAGGGGUGUGCGGAACUGCUGGUGGAGCGGUGAAAUGUGUUGAGAUCAGCAGGAACGCCGGUGGCGAAAGCGACACACUGGGUGGCUACUGACGCUGAGGGACGAAAGCCAGGGGAGCGAACGGGAUUAGAUA
rnacentral:rRNA from 1 species